GGUGUCAUAGCUUAGCUGGGAGAGCAGCAGACUGAAGUUGAGUUUAAUCUGAUGGUUGUGUGUUCAAGUCAUGCUGAUGCCA